rnacentral:rRNA from 1 species
AUGGAGUUGGCCACGGUGGCGUUGCGAACACUCGUUCCCAAGCUAGGGCGCCUGCUCAUGGGGGAGUACAACCUGCAGAAGGGUCUGAAGAAGGGCAUCAGGGACCUAAUGGACGAGCUACUUGUCAUAGAAGCUGCACUUGUGAAGGUGUCUGAUGUGCCACUAGACCAGCUUGAUCCGCUGGUCAAAAUUUGGGCAAACGACGUCAGGGAGCUGUCCUUUGCCAUCGAGGACAGCCUCGACUCCAUGGUGCAUGUCGAGGGUGUUGUGCCGACCAAUCCACACACUCCAUGGUGCGUGUCGAGGGUGUUGUGCCGACCAAUCCACACACCUUCUUCGGGUUCAUCAAGAAGACCUGCAAGAAGGUCACUAAGCUUAAGACUCGCCAUGAAAUAG